UAGUAACUGCGAGUGAAGAGGGAAAAGCUCAAAUUUAAAAUCUGGCGGGCUCUGCUCGUCCGAGUUGUAAUCUGGAGAAGCGUUUUCCGCGUCGGACCGUGCAUAAGUCUCCUGGAACGGAGCGUCAUAGAGGGUGAGAAUCCCGUCCAUGGCACGGACCGCCGAUGCUUUGUGAUACGUUUUCAAAGAGUCGAGUUGUUUGGGAAUGCAGCUCAAAACGGGUGGUAAAUUCCAUCUAAAGCUAAAUAUUGGCGAGAGACCGAUAGCGAACAAGUACCGUGAGGGAAAGAUGAAAAGCACUUUGGAAAGAGAGUUAAACAGUACGUGAAAUUGUUGAAAGGGAAACGCUUGAAGUCAGUCGCGUCCGACGGAACUCAGCCUUGCUUCGGCCUGGUGUACUUUCUGUCGGACGGGUCAACAUCAGUUUUGACCGGUGGAAAAAGGCAGGGGGAAUGUAGCGUCGCUUCGGCGGCGUGUUAUAGCCCCUUGCUGCAUGCAUCGGUCGGGACUGAGGACCGCAGCACGCCUUUUUGGCCGGGGGUUCGCCCCACGUACCGUGCUUAGGAUGUUGGCAUAAUGGCUUUAAGCGACCCGUCUUGAAACACGGACCAAGGAGUCCAACAUGCUUGCGAGUGUUCGGGUGGAAAACCCUUGCGCGCAAUGAAAGUAACAGUUGGGAACCUCCGCAAGGGGGUGCACCGACGCCCGGCCCUGAAGUUCUCUGACGGUGCUGCGGUAGAGCAAGUAUGCUGGGACCCGAAAGAUGGUGAACUAUGCCUGAAUAGGGCGAAGCCAGAGGAAACUCUGGUGGAGGCUCGUAGCGAUUCUGACGUGCAAAUCGAUCGUC
rnacentral:rRNA from 1 species